rnacentral:lncRNA from 1 species
AAAAAUUCAGAAAUAAUAUUGAUAUGAUUCUACUUUGUUGAAAUUAGCUACCAUUUGACUCCACAAUCAAAAAAAGAAAUUGGCUACCAUUUGGACCAUGAAGGGGUCAGACUCAGAUCGGGUAGCGGUGGUGGUAACAGCCGUAGCCGAGGCGGCGGUGGUGGAUUGAGGGGUGUAGAGUUCAGGUGGUCCUAGAAGAGUCGCGGACAUGGGAUCGAAGCAGACUCAGAUCUGCUUUGACUCGAAAAUUUCUUUUCUCCUUCAACCCCAAUCUCAACAACCUGAGAGAUAAAGCAGAUCCAGAGACCGAGUCAAGCGAUUCUGGGCUACCCAUCUCCUACCCGAGUCUCCAAGCACGCAAAUCUGCGUUUUUUCCUACUGGAAUUUGGACUGAACAUGAACGGCUGAACAACUUCAAAUUUCAGGUACUAUUUUGGUGAUCAUAUGGACUGAACAUUUCCUUUCUUACUGGAAUUUUAGUUUUGUCCAUCUUUUUCUCAUUCUGCAUAUCAAAUUGGUUUUCCUUAUUAUAUGGACUUUUCCCAUUGGUUCUUAUAUAUAGUAUCAUGGUUUGAUACUUGGCACAGACGGCUAAGAAUGUAGAAGAGGAAUGUGAUUAUUGAAGGCUUAAUCAUUGAUUCUUCUUUGGUUCGGGAGUUGCAGGGCUUGAGACUGAAUGGUGUCACCAUGAAUGGCUGAACAGCUUCAAAUUUCAGGUAUUAUUUUCAUUUUCUUUCUCUAAUUUUCUUAAUCCUGUUGUGUCGCCACCAUUGUCUGCAGAGCUACUGAAAACCCUAAUUAUGGGCUGCCAAGUCCAUAAUUAGGAAACAACUUCUAUUUGAACAUUAGAGAUUUUUGAAAAUAGGAUAUUGUUCACCUUUAAUUACCCUCCAUCAAGCUUCAAAUUAGUGAAAAUUAUUCUCUCAUAAAGGCAUUUAUAUUUUUAUAUUCAAAAUAAAACUCUAGCCAUUUCAUUCAUCACUCGGUAAUUAGUGUUUUUGAAUUUAAAUUUGUGCUUGACCUUAAAUUACUCCCCUAACCAGCCUCAAAUUAGUGAAUUUAGAAACCACCAAUAUAAUAGUAACAACCCCAUCUCCAUUACCAUCUAUUCAAUUUUAAAUUUUAAAUAAAAGGUAGUUACUUGAGUGAUAAGUUUGUUUCCUUGUGGGCAAAUUGAAAUUUCAUAGAUUUUAUUUUCAAAAAAACAAUUCAUAGUUUUUUUUUUAUGCUUUUUAACUAUUAUAUUAAUUAAGAUAUUGAUCCAAGUAUACAUUCUAUUAUCUUUUCUGAAGCUAGGACGAACCUUCUUAUCAGUUAGGUGAUUACUUAUUUUUUUGAAAGGCACUUAGGUGAUUACUUAAUUUUAUGAUAAUUGGAAAGAUACAGUUCUGAUGAUAUAUUAUGUCCAGAAUCAUAUAAAUGGAUCAAUAUUAGCAGAGAUUUGACAUCUUAACGUAGGGUAAGACAAAAAAAAAUUAGUAUACAGUUGUACAAAUAUUAUCUAGCUGCUGUGUAUUAUCAAAUUAGUGAAUUUUGAAAUAAAGUAUUAAAGUUCUACUAAGCACGAAAAAAAAAACCUUCGAAAAUUUUCCUUAACCAGAAUCGUAAAAAAUCACGCUUCUGUCUAAUUUUUUAAAAAAGAAUAGGUGUAGGAAUGAUAGACCUUGAACUGGAAAUGAGUCAAUUGAUCUUUAUAGCUUACAAUGUCAUUUUCCCCUUUUCUUCAUCUUCAUUUUUGUUUUUUAUUGAUCUUUCUUCUUAAUUUUAGUCCAAUAAUUCCUUUCAUUCUUAGAAGCAAAAAUAAGAGAAAACCUAUUAGAAUGCGAAAUUAUUUAUAUGGGUUUUUCAUGGUGCUGCAGCCUCAGAUUACAACUGCUACUAUGUCACAUCCAAAAUUUACUCAUGCUGAAUUGGAAGGAACAAGAUAAGGAACAGAGUAAGAACAGGUGCUAUGAGAAAAAAUGUCCUUCACCACCUUUAAUCUUAUGGUGCCUUCCAAAGGAGUUUGGUGAAGGAAGACUUGCUUCAAUACUUAAUGAAUGUAUAAAGGUGCUCUUUCUGUAGAUUUAAAGAUCACUGCUAAGCGACCUGAUUUGAAGGUCAUAUCCAAGGCAAGUCAAUAUUCAAUGGUUUACUUUUGUUUUUGUAGAAUCUUUUGUUACAAUUCUCACGAUAUUUAGCUAUGAUUUUGGAAGUAGGCAGAGGAAGAGUUUUUUUUUGGUAAGCAGGCAGAGGAAGAGUAUCCUACAUAUGUUUAUGUUUGGUGAUCUAUCCCACUAAAACAUUUCUAUCAAAUCUCCUUUCCUCCUUUCUCUUCUUGAUUUUUUG